rnacentral:rRNA from 1 species
AAUUCGAUGCAACGCGAAGAACCUUACCUAGGUUUGACAUCCGGAAGACUUCCCGAAAGGAAGGGUGCCCUUCGGGGAAUUCCGAGACAGGUGCUGCAUGGCUGUCGUCAGCUCGUGCCGUGAGGUGUGGGUUAAGUCCCGCAACGAGCGCAACCCUAUUGCCAGUUGCUACCAGGUAAUGCUGGGCACUCUGGUGAGACUGCCCCGGUUAACGGGGAGGAAGGUGGGGACGACGUCAAGUCAUCAUGGCCCUUACGCCUAGGGCUACACACGUACUACAAUGGCGCAUACAAAGGGCAGCGAUACCGCGAGGUGGAGCCAAUCCCAAAAAGUGCGUCCCAGUCCGGAUUGCAGUCUGCAACUCGACUGCAUGAAGUUGGAAUCGCUAGUAAUUCGAGAUCAGCAUGCUCGGGUGAAUGCGUUCCCGGGCCUU